GUGCACGCUGGCGGUAGGCCUAACACAUGCCCGUCGAACGGCAGCACAGUAAGAGCUUGCUCUUACGGGUGGCGAGUGGCGGACGGGUGAGGAAUACAUCGGAAUCUACUUUUUCGUGGGGGAUAACGUAGGGAAACUUACGCUAAUACCGCAUACGACCUACGGGUGAAAGCAGGGGAUCUUCGGACCUUGCGCGAUUGAAUGAGCCGAUGUCGGAUUAGCUAGUUGGCGGGGUAAAGGCCCACCAAGGCGACGAUCCGUAGCUGGUCUGAGAGGAUGAUCAGCCACACUGGAACUGAGACACGGUCCAGACUCCUACGGGAGGCAGCAGUGGGGAAUAUUGGACAAUGGGCGCAAGCCUGAUCCAGCCAUACCGCGUGGGUGAAGAAGGCCUUCGGGUUGUAAAGCCCUUUUGUUGGGAAAGAAAAGCAGCAGGUUAAUACCCCGCUGUUCUGACGGUACCCAAAGAAUAAGCACCGGCUAACUUCGUG
rnacentral:rRNA from 1 species